rnacentral:lncRNA from 1 species
GGACGAAGAAGCUGUCAUAUUCCCAAAGUGGGAAACUGGAAUCACCUGAUUUGAAAGUGGGAUAACUUCUUCAUGCCAACUCCUAUGAGAUUUAUUCAACUUCCUGGUCAUUCUACACCACUUUAUGUAUCCAAAUCAAGCUUCUCACAAAGUGAUUCAUCCUGGUUUGAUUGGAACGAUGAUGAAGCUGUGCUAUUCCCAAACUGGGAGACUGGAAUCACCUGAUUUGAAAGUGGGAUAACUUCUUCUUGCUGACUCCUAUGAGAUUUAUUAAACUUCCUGGUGAUUCUCCACCACUUUAUGUAUCCAAAUCAAACUUCUCACAAAGUGAUUCAUCCUGGUUUGAUUGGAACGACGAUGAAGCUGUGCUAUUCCCAAACUGGGAAACUGGAAUCACCUGAUUAGAAAGUGCGAUAACUUCUUCAUCCCAACUCCUAUGAGAUUUAUUCAACUUCCUGGUGAUUCUCCACCACUUUAUGUAUCCAAAUCAAGCUUCUCACAAAGUGAUUCAUCCUGGUUUGAUUGGAACGACUAAGAAGCUGUUCUAUUCCCAAACUGGGAAAAUGGAAUCACCUGAUUUGAAAGUGGGAUAACUUCUUCUUGCCAGCUCGUAUGAGAUUUAUUCAACUUCCUGGUGAUUCUCCACCACGUUAUGUAUCCAAAUCAAACUUCUCACAAAGUGAUUCAUCCUGGUUUGAUUGGAACGACGAAGAAGCUGUUCUAUUCCCAAACUGGGAAACUGGAAUCACCUGAUUUGAAAGUGGGAUAACUUCUCCUUGCCAACUCCUAUGAGAUUUAUUCAACUUCCUGGUGAUUCUCCACCACUUUAUGUAUCCAAAUAAAGCUUCUCACAAAGUGAUUCAUCCUGGUUUGAUUGGAACGACAAAGAAGCUGUGCUAUUCCCAAACUGGGAAACUGGAAUCACCUGAUUUGAAAGUGGGAUAACUUCUUCAUCCCAACUCCUAUGAGAUUUAUUCAACUUCCUGGUGAUUCUCCACCACUUUAUGUAUCCAAAGCAAGGUUCUCACAAAGUGAUUCAUCCUGGUUUGAUUGGAACGACGAUGAACCUGUGCUAUUCCCAAAAUGGGAAACUGGAAUCACCUGAUUUGAAUGUGGGAUAACUUCUUCUUCCCAACUCCUAUGAGAUUUAUUCAACUUCCUGGUGAUUCUCCCCCACUUUAUGUAUCCCAAUCAAGCUUCUUACAAAGAUAUUCAUCCUGGUUUGAUUGGAACGACGAAGAAGCUGUCAUAUUCCCAAACUGGGAAACUGGAAUCACUUGAUUUGAAAGUUGGAUAACUUCUUCUUGCCAGCUCGUAUGAGAUUUAUUCAACUUCCUGGUUAUUCUCCACCACUUUAUGUAUCCAAAUCAAGCUUCACACAAAGUGAUUCAUCCUGGUUUGAUUGGAACGACGAAUAAGCUGUUCUAUUCCCAAACUGGGAAACUGGAAUCACCUGAUUUGAAAGUGGGAUAACUUCUUCUUGCCAACUCCUAUGAGAUUUAUUCAACUUCCUGGUGAUUCUCCACCACGUUAUGUAUCCAAAUCAAAUUUCUCACAAAGUGAUUCAUCCUGGUUUGAUUGGAACGACGAAGAAGCUGUUCUAUUCCCAAACUGGGAAAUUGGAAUCACAUGAUUUGAAAGUGGGAUAACUUCUUCUUCCCAACUCCUAUGAGAUUUAUUCACCUUCCUGGUGAUUCUCCACCACGUUAUGUAUCCACAUCAAACUUCUCACAAAGUGAUUCAUCCUGGGUUGAUUGGAACGACGAAGAAGCUGGUCUAUUCCCAAACUGGGAAAUUGGAAUCACAUGAUUUGAAAGUGGGAUAACUUCUUCUUCCCAACUCCUAUGAGAUUUAUUCACCUUCCUGGUGAUUCUCCACCACUUUAUGUAUCCAAAUCAGGCUUCUCACAAAUUGUUUAAUCCUGGUUUGAUUGGAACGACGAAGAAGCUGUGCUAUUCCCAAACUGGGAACUUGGAAUCACAUGAUUUGAAAGUGGGAUAACUUCUUCUUCCCAACUCCUAUGAGAUUUAUUCAACUUCCGGGUGAUUCUCCACCAUUUUAUGUAUCCAAAUCAAGCUUCUUACAAAGAGAUUCAUCCUGGUUUGAUUGGAACGACGAAGAAGCUGUGGUAUUCCCAAACUGGGAAGCUGGAAUCACGUGAUUUAAAAGUGGGAUAACUUCUUCUUCCCAACUCCUAUGAGAUUAAUUCAACUUCCUGGUGAUUCUCCACCAUUUUAUGUAUCCAAAUCAAGCUUCUUACAAAGAGAUUCAUCCUGGUAUGAUUGAAACGACGAAGAAGCUGUGCUAUUCCCAAACUGGGAAACUGGAAUCACCUGAUUUGAAAGUGGGAUAACUUCAUCAUCCCAACCCCUAUGAGAUUUAUUCAACUUCCUGGUGAUUCUCCACCACUUUAUGUAUCCAAAUCAAGCUUCUCACAAAGUGAUUCAUCCUGGUUUGAUUGGAACGACGAAGAAGCUGUGCUAUUCUCAACCUGGGAAACUGGAAUCACAUGAUUUGAAAGUGGGAUAACUUCUUCUUGCCAACUCCUAUGUGAUUUAUUCAACUACCUGGUGAUUCUCCACCACUUAAUGUAUCAAAAUCAAGCUUCUCACAAAGUGAUUCAUCCUGGUUUGAUUGGAACGACAACGAAGCUGUGCUAUUCCCAAACUGGGAAACUGGAAUCACAUGAUUUGAAAAUGGGAUAACUUCUUCUUCCCAACUCCUAUGAGAUUUAUUCAACUUCCUGGUGAUUCUACACCACUUUAUAUAUUCAAAUCAAGCUUCUUACAAAGAGAUUCAUCUUGGUUUGAUUGGAACGACGAAGAAGAUGUGGUAUUCCCAAACUGGGAAACUGGAAUCACCUGAUUUGAAAGUUGGAUAACUUUUUCUUCCCAACUCCUAUGAGAUUUAUUCAACUUCCUGGUGAUUCUCCACCACUUUAUGUAUCCAAAUCAAGCUUCUCACAAAGAGAUUCAUCCUGGUUUGAUUGGAACGACGAAGAAGCUGUGCUAUUCCCAAACUGAGAAACUGGAAUCACAUGAUUUGAAAGUGGGAUAACUUCUUCUUCCCAACUCCUAUGAGAUUUAUUCAACUUCCUGGUGAUUCU